CAUCACUGUAAUAUUCUCAUUUUGAAUGAUUUAUGGCACAUAAAGUUUAACUUUUCACAGUUUAAAUCUUUGAAACUGUUAUUAAAUAAAAAUAAUUGGCAUCACAUACUUCCCAAUAUCUGUAUUAUAUCACAAACUCUUGUUUAACAUAACUUCCAUGUUAAUUCAUUUGAAAUUGUUGAAACUUUUGUCCUUCUUCAUGAUGUUAUAUAAGGCUAUAUAAGUGUCGUCUGCUGCCAGUGCCUCGUUCCAAAGUUAAUGUGCAUUGUAAACAUGUGCUGAUGUCAAUCCACAUAGUGUUGCUGUUAGAAAAACGAUAUUUUUUAUGCGUGUUGUAAAUAAGCUGUGGUUGUUGUAUGAAGAAAUGUGAUUCCUGAUAUCAGUCCUUUUGAUUGAAUCGUUGUUAUAUGAAGUUUUCCAUUGUAGACUAUGAAAUGUAAUUUACGACCACCUGUUCUGAGUGUUGAUCUUUAUGAAUGAGUGUGUAAAUUCGUGCGCAUGCGCAUUAGCUAUAACAUGUCAAGCUAAUCGUUGAUGAUUAUUAGUUCGAUUUUUAAUUUAACGCUUUCACAGUUGUACUCACCGGCAUUUCGUAUAUCCAUGAGUUGUAUAUAAAGUAUUCACAUAGAUUUUAUAAGCUGUCAAGUUGUUUUAGCGGCGAAUUCUGUAAUUUUGUCAGCCGUUAACACACACAUGUUAUGUUCUCACAGACA
rnacentral:lncRNA from 1 species